GACGAACGCUGGCGGCGUGCCUAAUACAUGCAAGUCGAACGAACCGCGACUAGGUGCUUGCACUUGGUCAAGGUGAGUGGCGAACGGGUGAGUAACACGUGGGUAACCUACCUCAUAGUGGGGGAUAACAGUCGGAAACGACUGCUAAUACCGCAUAGGACAUAGGAUCACAUGAUCCAGUGAGGAAAGGUGGCGCAAGCUAUCGCUAAGAGAUGGACCCGCGGUGCAUUAGCUAGUUGGUAGGGUAAAGGCCUACCAAGGCGAUGAUGCAUAGCCGACCUGAGAGGGUGAUCGGCCACAUUGGGACUGAGACACGGCCCAAACUCCUACGGGAGGCAGCAGUAGGGAAUCUUCCGCAAUGGACGAAAGUCUGACGGAGCAACGCCGCGUGAGUGAAGAAGGUCUUCGGAUCGUAAAGCUCUGUUGUUAGAGAAGAACAGCGCAUAGAGUAACUGUUAUGCGUGUGACGGUAUCUAACCAGAAAGCCACGGCUAACUACGUG
rnacentral:rRNA from 1 species